UACAGAGGGGGCGAGCGUUGUUCGGAAUUACUGGGCGUAAAGGGCGCGUAGGCGGCCCGCUAAGUCGAACGUGAAAUCCCCAGGCUCAACCUGGGAACUGCGUCCGAUACUGGCAGGCUUGAAUCCGGGAGAGGGAUGUGGAAUUCCAGGUGUAGCGGUGAAAUGCGUAGAUAUCUGGAGGAACACCGGUGGCGAAGGCGGCAUCCUGGACUGGUAUUGACGCUGAGGCGCGAAAGCUAGGGGAGCAAACGGG
rnacentral:rRNA from 1 species